UAAAACGUAGGGGACAAGCGUUAUCCGGAUUUACUGGGCGUAAAGCGCCCGUAGGCGGCUUUUUAAGUUGGACGUGAAAGCUCCCGGCUUAACUGGGAGAGGCCGUUCAAAACUGAGAGGCUAGAGUGAGGCAGAGGAGCGCGGAAUUCCCGGUGUAGUGGUGGAAUGCGUAGAUAUCGGGAGGAACACCAGUGGCGAAAGCGGCGCUCUGGGCCUAAACUGACGCUGAGGGGCGAAAGCGUGGGGAGCGAACGGGAUUAGAUACCCCGGUAGUCCACGCCGUAAACGAUGGAGACUAGGUGUAGGCGGAUAGAACCCCGUCUGUGCCGAAGCCAACGCGUUAAGUCUCCCGCCUGGGGAGUACGGCCGCAAGGUUA
rnacentral:rRNA from 1 species